GACGAACGCUGGCGGCGUGCUUAACACAUGCAAGUCGAACGGAAAGGCCCUGCUUUUGUGGGGUGCUCGAGUGGCGAACGGGUGAGUAACACGUGAGUAACCUGCCCCUGACAUUGGGAUAACUUCAGGAAACUGGGGCUAAUACCGGAUAGGAGCUCCUGCUGCAUGGUGGGGGUUGGAAAGUUUCGGCGGUUGGGGAUGGACUCGCGGCUUAUCAGCUUGUUGGUGGGGUAGUGGCUUACCAAGGCUUUGACGGGUAGCCGGCCUGAGAGGGUGACCGGCCACAUUGGGACUGAGAUACGGCCCAGACUCCUACGGGAGGCAGCAGUGGGGAAUAUUGCACAAUGGGCGGAAGCCUGAUGCAGCAACGCCGCGUGCGGGAUGACGUCCUUCGGGUUGUAAACCGCUUUCGCCUGUGACGAAGCGUGAGUGACGGUAAUGGGUAAAGAAGCACCGGCUAACUACGUG
rnacentral:rRNA from 1 species